rnacentral:rRNA from 1 species
GACGAACGCUGGCGGCGUGCUUAACACAUGCAAGUCGAACGGAAAGGCCCUGCGUUUGUGGGGUUCUCGAGUGGCGAACGGGGGAGUAACACGUGAGUAACCUGCCCUUGACUUUGGGAUAACUUCAGGAAACUGGGGCUAAUACCGGGGAUGAGCUCCUGAUGCGUGGUGUGGGUUGGAGAGUGUCGGCGGUUGGGGAUGGACUCGCGGCUUAUGAGCUGGUUGGUGGGGUAGGGGCUUACCAAGGCUUUGACGGGUAGCCGGCAUGAGAGGGUGACCGGCCACAUUGGGCCUGAGAUACGGCCCAGAAUCCUACGGGCGGCAGCAGUGGGGAAUAUUGCACAAUGGGCGGAAGCCUGAUGCAGAAACGCCGCGUGCGGGAUGACGGCCUUCGGGUUGUAAACCGCUUUCGCAUGUGACGAAGCGUGAGUGACGGUACUGGGUAAAGAAGCACCGGCUAACUACGUG